UACAGAGGGUGCAAACGUUGUUCGGAAUUACUGGGCGUAAAGCGCGUGUAGGCGGCUUUGCAAGUCGGAUGUGAAAUCCCACGGCUCAACCGUGGAAGUGCAUUCGAAACUGCAAGGCUAGAGUUCUGGAGAGGAAGGUGGAAUGCUUGGUGUAGAGGUGAAAUUCGUAGAUAUCAAGCGGAACACCGGUGGCGAAGGCGGCCUUCUGGACAGUAACUGACGCUGAGACGCGAAAGCGUGGGGAGCAAACAGG
rnacentral:rRNA from 1 species